rnacentral:tRNA from 1 species
AGUGAGGUGGCUGAGAACAAGCAAUAGACUGUAGAUCUAUCCACGAAUUUACUUCUCUCACUA